rnacentral:rRNA from 1 species
AGCUCCAAUAGCGUAUAUUAAAGUUGUUGCGGUUAAAAGCUCGUAGUUGGAUUUCUGUCAGGGGCAUCCGGUCACCGCUCCGCGGUUGCAUCUGGACUGUCUUUGGCAUCCUCCCGGCGAACGUUACUGUGAUUUAGUUUAUGGUGCGGUUAUCGGGACUUUUACUUUGAGGAAAUUAGAGUGUUCACGGCAGGCUUUCGCGAUGAAUACAUUAGCAUGGAAUAAUAAUAUAGGAUCUUGGUUCUAUUUUGUUGGUUUCUAGAACUGAGGUAAUGAUUAAUAGGGAUAAUUGGGGGCAUUCGUAUUGGCGCGUCAGAGGUGAAAUUCUUAGAUUGCGUUAAGACGAACUACUGCGAAAGCAUUUGCC